GAAAACGGAACGGGGCACGUAAACAUCGUUUGCCACCGCGUCUCAAAUACCUAUCAUUGCGCGAAUGCAUCUCGAAAGUCGAAAGUCGAUCGCGUAAUCAGUCCUUUCGUGGCAAUCUACGAGGCACCGGUAAACAUGCUGCGAGCAAUCAGGCAUGUAUUUUAUCGAAAUAUUGCCGCAUAUCUGCGGCAUAUCGAAGUGUCGACGCGACGCGUCGCGACGUAACACACAUAACCUGCGUACAUAAGGUUUGCUUCGCGCGAUGAUCUCCGCCUGUUUCGCACGAAAAUCAUUGAACACGGAAGUAUCGAAGAAAAUAUUGGUCAUGUUGUACGUAAACACAGCCUAUAGUCAUGUCAUUGGAAUACGUAUACACUCCAUUUCGACAAGUUCCGAGAAUUUCGCUUCGGAGUUCGUGAUCGAACGUGAUUCGAAUCUCAUUACUGGAGCAGUCGUCAUAAUGUAGUGAAAAUACGACAGUGGUGCAUUUGUCAGAUCCUUGGAACUCCUCAUUCGUUAGCGUACCUUGCUCAUCUUCCUCUUCUUCACGCCAGUCUGAGGCAGAGAUAAACGGGAAAAGAGAGACAGAGAAUUCUGACUCAAUUGGCAGACGUUAAUGAGACUUUCCUAUUGGCUCCGAGGUGUGUAAUCAUCGGUCAUAAAGACUUGGUGGCAGCAUAUUUGUAAAACCGCAAAGAAGCGAACGAAGAAAUGAAGAGCCGAGAAAGUGUAAUUGAGAUCUCGUAAGUUUUACUAAGGUGUCCACGCUGAUCGAAAGAGAAGAAAAAUGUGCCGAUUAGUUCCUUGUGUUUCGAGGCAACAUAAGAGAUGUAAAACACAGCUCGGCUUCUUUCAGUAAGGUAAGCAAAUAAAAAAAAGACGAAAUAGGAACCUACGUAGUCAUAUGGAGAUUUUAAUCGGUGCCGACCGCAAGACACACCGUUGACUCACUAACUUGGUAUUUGCUCGGGAAACGUGAGAUAUCGCGAGACGCGAAGUCAGAUAUCAGCUUCCAGUUUUCCAUAAAGUACCCGUGUGUUUGAAAAUGAUAAAAUUAUGUUCACGAAAUGAUUAAUUAUUAUUUGACAGUCCCGAAAAUACAAUUUUCCUAUUUGUUAUUGUUAACAAGUGGCG